UGGAUGUUGUUAUGCAGUUUUCAUCAGUAGGUUAUCCUAUUGUGGACAAUGCUAGGAAAAACACUAGAUAUCUUGAAGCUAUUGUAAUAGAUUGAUGAUCCUUUGCUUGGGCUCGUGUUUAGAAUGUUUUGAUAUAGAUCUCCUUCUUCUAGUCUGACGUUAUUACUUUAUCUGCUUAAAGUGGCUUGAGAUUUUUUCUUAAAUAAAAGUUUAAUUCUUAAAUCUGGAAGAUGUUAAUAGAUGAAAGAAGGCUAUAGAAUAUGAAGAGUAUCCGAUGUUCAAUAUUUCUUUCACUUUUGUUAACAGU
rnacentral:lncRNA from 1 species